GACUACGUGUGGGGAUGCUGCAGAUUGCUGCGCCUCGCCAGUAAAAUCCACCACAAAACCUGGACCGGAGUUCAGUCUGCAGCUCAGGACCAGGAGCAGGGCUACAGAUGGUCCUCUGCACAUGUUUUCUUCCCAUUGGUCCGGGGUCCCGGGCUGACUGUGCUGCAGCUCUGCAGGUACUACAUAAAAGGGCGCUCUGUGCCUGCACUAGGUUUCACCUCAGGCCCUGACAUACUGAAGACAAGACAUGGCAGAGGAGAGACUGCAGGGGGCAAACACUACACAAGGAGGAGCAGGUCUGCAUGAAUGCUGUAUGCCUCCAGGCACUGCUGGGUGCACAGACCCAAAACUUCCAGCAGCUGGAUUCCACAUCAUCUGAGAAAAUACUUUUUUAUAUAUCAAGAG